rnacentral:misc_RNA from 1 species
UUAAGUUCAGCGGGUAGUCCUACUUGAUUUGAGGUACAUUGUUCAAAGUAUUGUCCAGUGAAGGACUGUUAGAAGCCAAACUUCAUUACAACUAUGCAGUGAAGAUAUUAUCACACCACACGUAACGUUGUAACUUGAUUCAACUAAUGCAUUCAAGGGAAGCCAGGACCUAAUGAAAGGCCAGCAAUCCCCAAAUCCAA